UACGUAGGGGCCUAGCGUUGUCCGGAUUUAUUGGGCGUAAAGAGCUCGUAGGCGGUCGGCAAGUCAGGUGUGAAAUCUCCGCGCUCAACGCGGAGGAGCCACCUGAUACUGCCGUGACUUGAGUCCGGUAGGGGAGUGCGGAAUUCCUGGUGUAGCGGUGAAAUGCGCAGAUAUCAGGAGGAACACCAGUGGCGAAGGCGGCACUGCGGCGAUACUGACGCUGGAGGAGCGAAAGCGUGGGAGCAAACAG
rnacentral:rRNA from 1 species